UCGACCCUGAGGUUAAAAGAGGCGUUAGUCAAAGAAGGUUCAGCUUCUUUGAACAAAGACACAACUUUUAAAGGAGGAUAAAGAUCAUAAUUUAUAAGGAGCAGUUGUUCUAGUGGGCCUAAAAGCAGCCACCUACACCAAAAGCGUUACAGCUUAUACAAAAUCUUUGCCCCUCAAUCAGGACUUAAUUAUCUUAUUCCCCUACAACUACUAGGCUACUUCAUGCCCCCAUGAAAGAAACCCUGCUUAAAUUAGUAAUAAGAGGGGACGACCCUCUCCUUGCACCAGUGUAUGUCGGAUUGGACUCACCCCCGACUAUUAACGACCCCAUAACCAGAGGGAACAAAGACACCCUCCCGGCACAAGCCGAGAAAAACACUUUAUAGUUAUCGUUAACCCCACACCGGAGUGCUUUAAGGGAAAGACUAAAAGAUAGGAAAGGAACUCGGCAAACACAAGCCUCGCCUGUUUACCAAAAACAUCGCCUCUUGCAUAAAACGAAUAAGAGGUCCUGCCUGCCCCGUGACUAUGGGUUUAACGGCCGCGGUAUUUUGACCGUGCGAAGGUAGCGCAAUCACUUGUCCUUUAAAUGAGGACCCGUAUGAAUGGCAAGACGAGGGCCUAGCUGUCUCCCCUAUCCAGUCAAUGAAAUUGAUCCCCCCGUGCAGAAGCGGGGAUAGCCUCAUAAGACGAGAAGACCCUAUGGAGCUUAAGGCAGUAGGACGGCCCGUAUAAACAGCUCACCACAAAUGAACUAGACCCUAGCGAUACACCUCCGUUCCCAUGCCUUUGGUUGGGGCGACCAUGGGGAAAAGAAAAACCCCCAUGAGGACUGAGGGCCUCUUAAACACCACCCUCCUAGCCGAGAGCCUACCACUCUAAGCAUCAAAACAUUUGACCUUCGUGAUCCGACGUACGCGUCGAUCCACGAACCGAGUUACCCUAGGGAUAACAGCGCAAUCCCCUCCAAGAGCCCUUAUCGACGAGGGGGUUUACGACCUCGAUGUUGGAUCAGGACAUCCUAAUGGUGCAGCCGCUAUUAAGGGUUCGUUUGUUCAACGAUUAAAGUCCUACGUGGAUCUGAGUUCAGACCGGAGUAAUCCAGGUCAGUUUCUAUCUAUGCCUUGCUCUUUUCUAGUACGAAAGGACCGAGAAGGAGGGGCCCAUGUUACUCACACGCCCCACCCCCACCUGAAGAAAUCAACUAAAACAAGCAAGAGGGCAAACCCCCUAGCCUGUGCCAGAAAUAAUGGCAUUGUUGGAGUGGCAGAGCCCGGUAAUUGCUAAAGAGCUAAGUCCUUUCCACAGAGGUUCAAGUCCUCUCUUCAACUAUGAUUUCUAUCCUCGCCACCUACAUCAUCAACCCCUUAGCCUACAUUGUUCCAGUCCUCCUAGCAGUUGCAUUCUUAACCCUCCUUGAACGAAAAGUACUAAGCUAUAUACAACUACGAAAAGGCCCAAAUGUUGUCGGACCCUACGGCCUUCUACAGCCCAUCGCUGACGGGGUUAAACUAUUUAUUAAAGAGCCCGUGCGCCCCUCUACAUCCUCCCCCUUCCUAUUUCUAGCCACCCCUAUAUUGGCGCUGACAUUGGCACUUACACUAUGGGCCCCAAUACCCAUUCCCUACCCCGUUACCGAUUUAAACCUGGGAAUUCUAUUUGUUCUUGCCCUCUCCAGCCUCGCUGUUUACUCAAUCCUCGGCUCAGGCUGAGCAUCCAACUCUAAAUACGCCCUCAUCGGGGCACUCCGAGCCGUAGCCCAAACAAUUUCUUAUGAAGUAAGCCUAGGCCUAAUUCUCCUAAGCAUCAUUAUUCUAACAGGAGGCUUUACCCUCCAAACCUUUAAUGUUGCCCAAGAAAGCAUCUGACUAGUCUCACCCGCCUGACCCCUAGCUGCAAUAUGAUACAUUUCCACGCUCGCCGAAACCAACCGCGCCCCCUUCGAUCUCACAGAGGGGGAAUCCGAGCUCGUUUCCGGUUUCAACGUAGAGUACGCCGGAGGCCCCUUCGCCCUUUUUUUCCUAGCAGAAUACGCUAAUAUUCUCUUAAUAAAUACCCUAUCCACGAUUCUAUUCCUAGGAGCCUCCCACAUCCCACUCCUCCCCGAACUUACAGCCUUCAAUCUAAUAACUAAAGCCGCCCUCCUAUCCGUCGUGUUCUUGUGAGUACGAGCCUCAUACCCACGAUUCCGCUACGACCAGCUGAUACACCUAGUGUGAAAAAACUUCCUGCCUAUUACCCUCGCUCUUGUUAUUUGACAUCUCGCCCUCCCCAUCGCUUUCGCAAGCCUCCCCCCUCAACUAUAACGAGGAACCGUGCCCGAAUGUUAAGGGCCACUUUGAUAGAGUGACUCAUGGGGGUUCAAGUCCCCCCAGUUCCUUAGGAAAUAGGGGCUCGAACCCAAACUUAAGAGAUCAAAACUCUUCGUGCUUCCACUACACCACUUCCUAGCAAGGUAAGCUAAACAAGCUUUUGGGUUCAUACCCCAACAAUAUUGGUUAAACCCCUUUCCUCGCUAAUGAGCCCAUACAUCCUAUGCACCCUUCUCUUUAGCCUCGGACUAGGGACAACUAUUACAUUUGCCAGCUCCCACUGACUACUCGCCUGAAUAGGCCUUGAAAUUAAUACUUUAGCUAUUAUUCCCCUUAUGGCCCAACACCAUCACCCCCGAGCAGUUGAAGCUGCCACAAAAUAUUUCCUCACCCAAGCAACAGCUGCAGCCCUAAUUAUGUUUGCAAGCACAACCAACGCCUGAAUCCUAGGAGAAUGAAAUAUCCAACAGCUCUCCCACCCCUUAGCAAGCACACUAGUUAUCCUCGCCCUCGCCCUAAAAAUCGGCCUCGCCCCCGUCCACUUCUGAUUGCCAGAGGUCCUCCAAGGCCUCGACCUAACUACGGGUCUUAUCCUCUCCACCUGACAAAAGCUCGCCCCCUUCGCCCUUAUCCUUCAAAUAACUUCAGCUAACCCCCAUCUCCUAGUAUUCCUCGGACUCCUCUCCACCAUUGUAGGCGGAUGGGGCGGAUUAAACCAAACCCAGCUCCGCAAAAUCCUUGCCUACUCCUCCAUCGCGCAUCUCGGCUGAAUAGUUCUAAUUAUGCAAUUCGCCCCCUCCCUAACUCUCCUUUCACUCCUCCUGUACAUUAUUAUAACCUCCGCAACAUUCCUCACCUUCAAGCUCAACAACGCCACAAGUAUUAAUUCCCUUGCCACCUCAUGAGCAAAGGCCCCAGCACUCACAGCCCUCGUCCCACUCCUCCUCCUCUCCCUAGGGGGCCUACCCCCUCUCACAGGCUUCAUACCCAAGUGAUUUAUUCUUCAAGAACUAACAAAGCAAGGUCUUCCCCUCACAGCUACUAUUGCAGCUCUUUCCGCCCUCUUAAGCCUGUACUUCUACCUACGAUUAUGCUACGCAAUAACCCUGACCAUCUCCCCAAAUACCCUCACCUCCCCCACACCCUGACGCCUCCCCACCCUUCAAUCUACCCUCCCCCUGGCCUUACUAACCACAAUGGCCCUUUCUCUACUUCCCCUCGCCCCAGCAGCCCUUGCCCUUCUCACCCCCUAGAGGGACUUAGGUUAGUACAAAGACCAAAGGCCUUCAAAGCCUUAAGCGAGGGUGAAAAUCCCCCAGCCCCUAUAAGACCUGCGGGACUCUAUCCCACAUCUUCUGUAUGCAAAACAGACACUUUAAUUAAGCUAAAGCCUUUCUAGAAAAGAAGGCCUCGAUCCUACAAAAACUUAGUUAACAGCUAAGCGCUCUAACCAGCGAGCAUUUUUCUACUUUCCCCCGCUGUUAGCGGGCCAAGCGGGGGAAAGCCCCGGCAGGUCAUCAACCUGCUCCUUCAGAUUUGCAAUCUGACGUUUCUACAACUGCAGAGCUUGAUAGGAAGAGGACUUAAACCUCUGUUUGUGGAGCUACAAUCCAUCGCUUAACCCUCAGCCAUCCUACCUGUGACCAUUACCCGCUGAUUCUUCUCAACAAAUCACAAAGACAUUGGCACCCUUUACCUGCUAUUCGGUGCCUGGGCCGGGAUGAUCGGCACAGCAUUAAGCCUUCUUAUCCGGGCAGAGCUGAGUCAGCCCGGAGCCCUUCUCGGAGAUGACCAAAUUUAUAAUGUAAUCGUCACCGCUCACGCUUUUGUAAUAAUUUUCUUUAUGGUAAUACCUAUUCUAAUUGGGGGGUUCGGAAACUGACUCGUUCCACUCAUGAUCGGGGCCCCAGACAUGGCAUUCCCUCGCAUAAAUAACAUGAGCUUUUGACUCCUCCCCCCUUCCUUCCUCCUUCUAUUAUCCUCCUCCGCAGUAGAAGCCGGUGCUGGCACCGGCUGAACUGUAUACCCCCCCCUCGCUAGCAAUCUGGCUCACGCAGGGGCUUCUGUAGAUCUAGCUAUUUUCUCCCUUCACUUAGCAGGUGUGUCCUCUAUUUUAGGUGCAAUUAACUUUAUCACUACGAUUAUUAAUAUAAAACCCCCCGCUAUUACUCAAUACCAAACCCCUCUAUUUGUGUGAGCAGUUUUAAUUACUGCUGUACUUCUUCUUUUAUCUUUACCUGUUUUAGCAGCAGGCAUUACCAUGCUGCUAACCGACCGAAACCUAAACACAACCUUCUUCGACCCAGCAGGAGGGGGAGACCCCAUCCUUUAUCAACACCUAUUCUGAUUCUUCGGUCACCCAGAAGUUUAUAUUCUUAUCCUCCCCGGCUUUGGUAUUAUCUCUCAUGUCGUUGCCUACUAUUCGGGCAAAAAAGAGCCCUUCGGCUACAUGGGUAUGGUCUGAGCAAUGAUAGCAAUUGGACUUCUGGGAUUUAUCGUCUGAGCCCACCACAUAUUUACAGUUGGAAUAGACGUAGACACCCGCGCAUACUUUACAUCCGCCACAAUAAUUAUUGCCAUCCCUACCGGGGUAAAAGUCUUCAGCUGACUGGCCACACUUCACGGCGGAACUAUUAAAUGAGACACCCCCAUGCUAUGAGCCCUGGGCUUUAUUUUCCUCUUCACGGUGGGCGGCCUUACGGGCAUUGUCCUGUCAAACUCAUCCCUAGACAUUGUCCUACACGACACAUAUUAUGUUGUUGCCCACUUCCACUAUGUCCUAUCAAUAGGUGCGGUAUUUGCAAUCAUGGCCGGGUUCGUCCACUGAUUCCCCCUAUUCUCCGGCUACACCCUCCACAGCACAUGAACUAAAAUCCACUUUGCCGUAAUGUUCUUAGGAGUAAAUAUUACUUUCUUCCCACAGCACUUCCUUGGACUCGCAGGCAUGCCGCGGCGGUACUCAGACUACCCAGAUGCCUACACGCUAUGAAAUGUGGUUUCUUCAAUCGGAUCUAUGGUUUCCCUAGUUGCCGUGAUUAUGUUCCUGUUUAUUCUUUGAGAAGCCUUUACUGCCAAACGAGAAGUCCAAGCUGUAGACAUGGCCUCAACUAAUGUAGAGUGACUACACGGCUGCCCACCCCCUUACCACACCUUUGAAGAACCUGCUUUUGUACAGGUAAAGUCUUAUUAAACGAGAAAGGAGGGAAUCGAACCCCCACAUAAUGGUUUCAAGCCACUCACAUUUCCAUUCUGCCACUUUCUUAAUUCAGAGACACUAGUAAAGCCGUAAUUACACUGCCUUGUCAAGGCAAAGUCGUGGGUUAAAACCCCACGUGUCUUAAGCUUUCAGCUAAAUGGCACAUCCCACGCAACUAGGAUUCCAAGACGCGGCCUCCCCAGUUAUAGAAGAACUUCUCCACUUCCACGACCACGCUCUAAUGAUUGUACUUCUUAUUAGCAUCUUUGUCCUCUAUAUUCUUGUAGCAAUGGUUACUACUACAAUUACAGAUAAAUACAUCUUGGACUCCCAAGAAAUUGAAAUUAUCUGAACUAUCCUCCCAGCCGUUAUUCUUAUCCUAAUUGCCCUCCCCUCCCUCCGCAUCCUUUAUUUAAUAGACGAACUCAGCGACCCUCAUCUUACUAUUAAAGCAAUAGGUCACCAAUGAUACUGAAGCUAUGAAUACACAGACUAUGAAGACCUAGGGUUCGACUCAUACAUAAUCCCCACACAAGACCUUAUCCCCGGUCAAUUUCGCCUGCUCGAAGCCGACCACCGAAUAGUAAUUCCCGUGGAGUCCCCCAUUCGUAUUCUAGUUUCCGCUGAAGAUGUCCUCCACUCUUGAGCUGUGCCCGCCCUCGGCGUUAAAAUAGACGCAGUCCCAGGCCGUUUAAACCAAACAGCCUUUAUUACUUCCCGCCCUGGAGUGUUUUAUGGACAAUGCUCCGAAAUCUGCGGCGCAAACCACAGCUUUAUACCCGUCGUUGUUGAAGCCGUCCCUCUGGAGCACUUCGAAACAUGAUCUUCUCUUAUGCUUGAAGACGCCUCACUAAGAAGCUAAAUCGGACAUCAGCAUUAGCCUUUUAAGCUAAAGAGUGGUGGUCUCCAACCACCCUUAGUGACAUGCCUCAGCUUAACCCAAGCCCUUGGUUCGCCAUCCUAGUAUUCUCCUGAAUAGUAUUCUUAAUCGUAAUCCCCCCAAAAGUCGUAAAUCACGUCUUCCCUUACGACCCUGCAGCACAAAAUGUAGAAAAGCCCGUACAAGCCCCCUGACACUGACCAUGAUACUAAACUUUUUCGAUCAAUUUAUGAGCCCCUCACUACUGGGAGUACCCCUCAUUGUUCUUGCAAUAACCCUUCCAUGAGCACUCUACCCCAUGCCUUCUCCCCGCUGACAAGAAAGCCGUCUUUUAGCCCUACAAAACUGGUUCAUUAACCGGUUUACACAACAGCUUCUUCUGCCCCUAAACCUCGGCGGACAUAAAUGAGCAGCCCUUCUAACCUCUCUUAUGCUCUUCUUAAUAACAUUAAACAUGCUAGGCCUCCUCCCCUACACCUACACUCCCACAACCCAACUCUCACUCAACCUCGGCCUAGCGGUCCCCCUUUGACUAGCCACAGUUCUAAUUGGACUACGUAAUGAACCAACUCAUGCCUUGGCUCACCUUCUCCCAGAAGGUACUCCUACCCCUCUUAUUCCCGUCUUAAUUAUUAUCGAAACUAUUAGCCUUUUUAUUCGUCCUUUAGCCCUCGGUGUCCGACUAACAGCCAACCUCACUGCCGGCCACCUUCUUAUGCAGCUUAUCGCAACAGCUGCUUUUGUCCUCCUUCCCUUAAUACCCACAGUAGCAAUUUUAACAGGGAUUAUUCUCUUCCUACUUACCCUUCUAGAAGUGGCAGUUGCACUAAUUCAAGCCUACGUCUUUGUUCUUCUUCUAAGCCUCUACCUACAAGAAAACGUCUAAUGGCCCACCAAGCGCACGCAUUCCAUAUAGUAGACCCAAGCCCCUGACCCCUAACAGGCGCUAUCGGCGCCCUCCUGUUAACCUCAGGACUAGCAACCUGAUUCCACUAUCAAUCCACAACCCUCCUUAUCCUUGGACUUAUACUAUGCUUCCUCACAUCCUACCAAUGAUGACGAGACGUUGUCCGAGAAGGAACCUUUCAAGGACACCAUACCCCGCCCGUACAAAAAGGCCUGCGCUAUGGUAUAGUUCUUUUCAUCACCUCCGAAGUUUUCUUCUUCCUCGGCUUCUUCUGAGCCUUCUACCACGCCAGCCUUGCCCCAACCCCCGAACUAGGAGGCUGCUGACCCCCCACAGGAAUUACUGCACUAGAUCCAUUCGAAGUCCCGCUACUGAAUACCGCCGUCCUCCUAGCCUCCGGAGUAACCGUGACCUGAGCCCAUCACAGCAUCAUAGAGGGAGAACGCAAACAAGCAAUUCAGUCUCUAACUUUAACGAUCCUCUUGGGGUUCUAUUUCACUUUCCUUCAAGGCAUAGAAUAUUAUGAGGCCCCCUUUACAAUCGCCGACGGCGUAUAUGGCUCAACCUUCUUUGUCGCAACUGGCUUCCACGGACUUCACGUCAUCAUCGGCUCAACUUUCCUGGCCGUCUGCCUACUACGACAAAUCCAAUACCACUUUACAUCACAACACCACUUCGGAUUUGAAGCCGCCGCCUGAUACUGACACUUUGUCGACGUCGUCUGACUAUUCUUAUACAUCUCCAUCUACUGAUGAGGCUCAUAAUCUUUCUAGUAUAACCCAGUAUACGUGACUUCCAAUCACCCGGCCCUGGUUAAAAUCCAGGGAAAGAUAAUGAAUCUAGUCUCAACAGUACUAACAAUCUCCCUAGCCCUCUCUUCUGUCCUAGCCGUUGUCUCCUUCUGACUCCCCCAAAUAAACCCGGACACUGAAAAACUCUCACCCUACGAAUGCGGAUUUGACCCCCUCGGAUCAGCACGCCUCCCCUUUUCCCUACGAUUCUUCUUGGUCGCCAUUUUAUUCCUCCUCUUCGACCUAGAAAUUGCCCUCCUCCUCCCUCUCCCCUGAGGAGACCAACUCUCCACCCCUACACACACAUUUUACUGAGCAACAACUGUUCUAGCCCUCUUAACCCUGGGCCUGGCCUACGAGUGAACACAAGGAGGCCUAGAAUGAGCGGAAUAGGUAAUUAGUCCAAGAGAAGACAUUUGAUUUCGGCUCAAAAGAUCGUGGUUUAAUUCCACAAUUGCCUCAUGACUCCUACCCACUUUGCCUUCUCAUCAGCUUUCAUGCUAGGCCUUAUAGGACUUGCAUUCCAUCGAACCCACCUACUAUCUGCACUCUUAUGCUUAGAGGGUAUAAUACUCUCACUAUUUAUUGCUCUCUCCCUAUGAACCCUUCAACUAGAAGCAACCGGCUACUCUACAGCACCUAUACUUCUACUUGCCUUCUCAGCCUGCGAAGCAAGCGCCGGGCUCGCCCUCCUAGUUGCCACCGCACGAACACAUGGCACAGACCACCUCCAAAGCUUAAAUCUACUACAGUGCUAAAAAUCUUACUUCCAACACUCAUGCUCUUCCCAACAAUUUGACUCGCAAAUAAGAAGUGACUAUGGUCAAUUUCACUUACCCAAAGCCUGCUAAUCGCCCUAAUCAGUCUCUCAUGGCUUAAAAAUACAGGAGAAACCGGAUGAUCUACCCUCAGCCCGUACCUGGGCACAGAUGCCUUAUCAACCCCUCUGCUUGUCCUCACGUGCUGACUCCUACCCCUUAUGAUUCUUGCAAGCCGUAACCAUAUCUCUCCUGAACCAAUCAACCGACAACGCACCUACCUCUCCCUCCUAACUUCCCUCCAAGUUUUCUUAAUUAUAGCCUUCGGCGCCACAGAAAUUAUUAUGUUUUAUGUCAUAUUUGAGGCGACACUAGUCCCCACCCUAUUCCUAAUCACACGGUGGGGAAACCAGACAGAACGACUGAACGCAGGCACAUACUUCUUAUUUUACACCUUAGCAGGCUCCCUCCCCCUUCUCGUAGCUCUCCUCCUCCUCCAAAAUGACACAGGAACACUCUCCAUGCUCACACUUCAAUACUCCAACCCUCUAAACUUAACCACCUGAGGGGACAAAAUAUGAUGGGCCGCCUGCCUAUUAGCCUUCCUGGUUAAAAUACCCCUUUACGGCGUACACCUUUGACUGCCUAAAGCCCACGUAGAAGCACCCGUCGCCGGAUCAAUGGUGCUCGCUGCCGUUCUUCUAAAACUAGGCGGCUACGGCAUGAUACGAAUAAUACUCAUUCUUGAUCCCCUUUCUAAAGAACUGGCCUAUCCCUUCAUUGUCCUCGCCCUUUGGGGAAUCAUUAUAACAGGCUCCAUUUGCCUCCGUCAAACGGACCUAAAGUCUCUUAUCGCCUAUUCCUCAGUAAGCCAUAUAGGCCUUGUCGCGGGCGGCAUCCUUAUUCAAACGCCCUGAGGCUUCACAGGAGCCCUAAUUUUAAUAAUUGCCCACGGCCUCGCAUCCUCCGCUUUAUUCUGCCUGGCUAACACAAGCUAUGAACGAACGCACAGCCGAACGAUACUUCUUGCACGAGGCCUCCAAAUGGUCCUCCCCCUGGCGGCAACAUGAUGAUUCCUUGCCAGCUUAGCCAAUCUUGCUCUACCUCCCCUCCCCAAUCUUAUGGGCGAACUAAUAAUUAUCACCUCCCUCUUCAACUGGUCCUACUGGACCCUCGUCCUUACAGGCGCUGGCACCCUAAUUACCGCCGGCUACUCCUUGUACCUUUUCUUAAUGACCCAGCGAGGACCGAUCCCCCAACACAUACUCGCCCUAGACCCCUCUCAUACCCGAGAACACUUGCUCAUCACCCUUCACCUGCUUCCCCUCAUCCUCUUAAUCCUUAAACCAGAGCUGGUCUGAGGCUGAUGCUUCUGUAGAUAUAGUUUAAAAAAACCAUUAGAUUGUGAUUCUAAAAAUAGAGGUUAAAAUCCCCUUGUCCACCGAGAGAGGCCCGACGGCAGUAAGGACUGCUAAUCCUUUACCCCCAUGGUUAAACUCCAUGGCCCACUCGGAGCUUUUAAAGGAUAACAGCUGAUCCGUUGGUCUUAGGAACCAAAAACUCUUGGUGCAAAUCCAAGUAAAAGCUAUGCACCCAACUACUCUAAUCAUGAGCACCUCCCUUCUCCUAGUCUUUUCGCUGUUAAUUUACCCCUUAGCCACCACACUAAGCCCCUCCCCCCGCCAGGAAGACUGAGCCCUCUCACACGUCGCAACAGCAGUAAAGCUAGCAUUCUUUGUUAGCCUUCUCCCCCUAUUUAUCUUCUUAAACGAGGGGGCAGAAACCAUCAUCACCAACUGAAGCUGAAUAAAUACUUUAACCUUUGAUAUCAACCUAAGCUUCAAAUUUGACCACUACUCUAUUAUUUUUACCCCUAUUGCCCUAUACGUCACUUGAUCAAUUCUAGAGUUUGCAUCUUGAUAUAUGCACUCCGACCCAAACAUAAACCGCUUCUUUAAGUACCUCCUCUUAUUCCUAGUCGCUAUAAUCAUUUUAGUCACAGCCAACAAUCUUUUCCAACUUUUCAUCGGCUGAGAGGGCGUAGGAAUUAUGUCCUUCCUCCUUAUUGGCUGAUGGUACGGACGAGCCGACGCCAAUACCGCAGCUCUCCAAGCAGUCCUUUAUAACCGAGUGGGAGAUAUCGGCCUCAUCCUAAGCAUAGCUUGACUAGCCACAAACCUUAACUCAUGAGAAAUGCAACAAAUAUUUGCCGCCUCGAAACAACAAGACCUGACCCUCCCCCUCCUGGGCCUGAUUCUUGCAGCCACUGGAAAGUCCGCACAAUUUGGACUUCACCCCUGACUGCCUUCAGCAAUGGAGGGUCCCACGCCAGUAUCUGCCCUACUACACUCAAGCACUAUAGUCGUAGCAGGAAUUUUCCUUCUCAUCCGACUGAGCCCCCUUAUAGAAAAUAACCAAACUGCCCUAACAGUCUGCCUCUGCCUCGGCGCCCUAACCACCCUUUUCACAGCCACCUGCGCCCUGACCCAAAACGACAUCAAAAAAAUUGUAGCCUUCUCUACCUCUAGCCAGCUCGGCCUUAUGAUGGUAACAAUUGGGCUAAAUCAACCCCAACUCGCUUUCCUACACAUCUGUACCCACGCCUUCUUCAAAGCCAUGCUUUUCCUCUGCUCUGGCUCCAUUAUUCAUAGCCUUAACGACGAACAGGACAUCCGAAAAAUAGGGGGCCUUCACCACCUAGCCCCCUUUACCUCGUCCUGCCUAACUAUCGGCAGCCUCGCCCUUACAGGGACCCCAUUCUUAGCCGGGUUUUUCUCCAAAGACGCCAUUAUUGAAGCCCUAAACACGUCCUACCUAAACGCCUGAGCCCUCACCCUCACACUUCUAGCCACCUCCUUCACCGCCAUUUACAGCCUCCGAGUUGUCUUCUUCGUGUCAAUGGGCCACCCCCGUUUCCUCCCCCUCUCCCCCAUUAACGAAAACAACCCAAUAGUAAUCAAUCCAAUUAAACGCUUAGCCUGAGGCAGCAUUGUUGCAGGCCUCGUCCUUACCUCUAACUUCCUCCCCCUAAAAACCCCUGUAAUAACCAUACCCCCCCUCCUAAAACUCUCCGCCCUAAUCGUUACAAUCCUCGGACUCUUAACUGCCCUAGAGCUCGCCUCUUUAACUAGCAAACAAUUCAAACCCGCGCCCUGACUCCCUGCACACAACUUCUCUAAUAUGCUCGGCUACUUCCCCGCCAUCAUCCAUCGUCUAACCCCUAAAAUAAACCUGACGCUAGGCCAAGCCAUCGCAAGCCAAAUAGUAGACCAAACAUGGUUAGAAAAGACAGGACCUAAGGCAACUGCCUCACUUCUCAUACCCCUGGCCUCCUCCACAAGCAAUAUCCAACAAGGCCUUAUCAAAACCUACCUCACUCUCUUCCUUCUAACCCUGGUCCUUACAACCCUAAUCAUCUUUUACUAAACUGCUCGAAGCGCUCCCCGACUUAACCCCCGUGUUAACUCAAGAACCACAAAUAGCGCCAACAAUAAAACUCAAGCACAAAUCACAAGCAUCCCCCCACCAGAAGAGUAUAUUAAAGCAACACCCCCUACAUCCCCCCGCAACACUACAAAUUCUUUAAACUCAUCCACAGCCACCCAAGAAAUCCCGUAUCACCCCCCUCAAAAUCACCCCGCAGCCAACACCACCCCCGCUAGAUAAAGCAUAACAUACCCUAAGACAGACCGAUCCCCUCAAGACGCUGGAAAUGGCUCAGCAGCAAGAGCUGCCGAAUAAGCAAACACCACAAGCAUCCCCCCCAAAUAAAUUAAAAAUAAGACUAGAGAUAAGAAAGAGCCACCUUGAGCAACUAACAACCCACAACCAAACCCUGCUGCUAGUACCAACCCAAACGCUGCAAAGUAAGGCGCAGGGUUAGAAGCUACUGCAACUAGCCCCAUCACUAAACCAAAUAAAAAUAAAGACAUAAAAUAGGCCAUAAUUCCUGCCUGGACUCUAACCAGAACUAAUGACUUGAAAAACCACCGUUGUAAAUUCAACUACAAGAACACUAAUGGCCCUCCGAAAAACCCACCCCCUACUAAAAAUUGCAAACGACGCACUAGUCGACCUCCCCGCCCCUUCCAACAUCUCAGCAUGAUGAAACUUCGGAUCCCUGUUAGGCCUCUGCCUGAUCACCCAGAUCUUAACAGGCCUUUUUUUAGCCAUACACUACACCUCUGACAUUUCCAUGGCCUUCUCUUCCGUUGCCCACAUCUGCCGAGAUGUAAACUACGGAUGACUAAUCCGAAACAUGCACGCUAACGGCGCCUCCUUUUUCUUCAUUUGUAUCUAUAUGCACAUCGCACGAGGUCUCUACUAUGGGUCGUACCUAUACAAAGAAACUUGAAAUGUGGGAGUCGUACUCCUCCUCCUAGUUAUAAUAACAGCCUUCGUAGGAUACGUCCUCCCCUGAGGACAAAUGUCCUUCUGAGGCGCAACUGUAAUUACAAACCUCCUAUCAGCAGUCCCCUACGUCGGAAAUGCCCUAGUCCAAUGAAUCUGAGGAGGCUUCUCCGUUGAUAAUGCCACCCUCACCCGGUUCUUCGCCUUCCACUUCCUAUUUCCCUUCGUUAUCCUUGCCAUAACAGUCAUUCACCUCCUUUUCCUCCACGAGACCGGCUCUAACAACCCAGCAGGAAUUAACUCAGACGCAGACAAAAUCUCCUUCCACCCCUACUUUACCUACAAAGACCUCCUAGGAUUUGCUAUCAUACUUAUUGCCCUCACCUCUCUCGCCCUAUUUUCCCCCAACCUGCUAGGAGACCCAGACAAUUUCACCCCCGCCAACCCGCUUGUCACCCCUCCCCACAUUAAGCCAGAAUGGUACUUCCUGUUUGCAUACGCCAUCCUUCGCUCAAUUCCAAAUAAACUGGGAGGCGUGCUCGCCCUCUUGGCCUCUAUUCUGGUUCUUAUACUAGUCCCAUUCCUCCACACCUCAAAACAACGAGGCCUUACUUUCCGCCCUCUUACCCAACUCCUGUUCUGAACCUUCGUAGCCAACGUCUUAAUCCUUACAUGAAUUGGAGGAAUGCCAGUAGAACACCCCUUUGUUAUUAUUGGACAAAUCGCAUCCUUCCUAUACUUCCUUCUCCUAUUAGUCCUCUCCCCUCUCGCGGGCUGAAUAGAAAAUAAAGCCCUUAAAUGAGCCUGCACUAGUAGCUCAGUCCCAGAGCGCCGGACUUGUAAUCCGGAGGCCGGAGGUUAACUACAGCCCUCCCUAGCGUU
rnacentral:tRNA from 1 species